CAUUCGGCUGUAAAAAUUGCAGCGCCCCCAAGUAAUUGGGGAUGUAAAAGUGGGUGAAUUCAAGGAAACCCUAUUUAAAAGUAGGGCAACCCUGAGCCAAGCUUCGAUUAAGAAUCGAAGAAGGUGCAGAGACUACCCUGAAAAGGGGUACUCUCAAGUUAAUUCUUGAGGGGAAGCGCCCACCACCCUAAUCUUAAUUUAUUAGUAGGAUGGGUGAUGAGAUAGUCCAAGCUCUAAAGCAAUUUAGAG
rnacentral:ncRNA from 1 species